rnacentral:rRNA from 1 species
UUGAACGCUGGCGGAAUGCUUUACACAUGCAAGUCGAGCGGCAGCGCGGGGGCAACCCUGGCGGCGAGCGGCGAACGGGUGAGUAAUGUAUCGGAACGUACCCUGUCGUGGGGGAUAACACAGCGAAAGCUGUGCUAAUACCGCAUACGACCUGAGGGUGAAAGCGGGGGAUCGCAAGACCUCGCGCGAUAGGAGCGGCCGAUAUCGGAUUAGCUUGUUGGUGAGGUAAAGGCUCACCAAGGCGACGAUCCGUAGCUGGUCUGAGAGGACGACCAGCCACACUGGAACUGAGACACGGUCCAGACUCCUACGGGAGGCAGCAGUGGGGAAUUUUGGACAAUGGGGGCAACCCUGAUCCAGCCAUUCCGCGUGAGUGAAGAAGGCCUUCGGGUUGUAAAGCUCUUUCAGCAGGAGCGAAACGGUCGUUUUUAAUACAGACGGCUAAUGACGGUACCUGCAGAAGAAGCACCGGCUAACUACGU